rnacentral:rRNA from 1 species
UACGUAGGGUGCGAGCGUUGUCCGGAAUUAUUGGGCGUAAAGAGCUUGUAGGCGGUUUGUCGCGUCUGCCGUGAAAAUCCGGGGCUCAACCCCGGACUUGCGGUGGGUACGGGCAGACUAGAGUGUGGUAGGGGAGACUGGAAUUCCUGGUGUAGCGGUGAAAUGCGCAGAUAUCAGGAGGAACACCGAUGGCGAAGGCAGGUCUCUGGGCCACUACUGACACUGAGAGACGAAAGCUAGGGGAGCAAAUGGG